GAUAAAGAAAGGAAUUAAACCAAUAUAAAUAGGACUACAGCCUACCGCCUACCAU
rnacentral:tRNA from 1 species